rnacentral:rRNA from 1 species
GGCCUUGACAUACUAAGAACUUUCCAGAGAUGGAUUGGUGCCUUCGGGAACUUAGAUACAGGUGCUGCAUGGCUGUCGUCAGCUCGUGUCGUGAGAUGUUGGGUUAAGUCCGCAACGAGCGCAACCCUUUUCCUUAUUUGCCAGCGGGUAAUGCCGGGAACUUUAAGGAUACUGCCAGUGACAAACUGGAGGAAGGCGGGGACGACGUCAAGUCAUCAUGGCCCUUACGGCCAGGGCUACACACGUGCUACAAUGGUCGGUACAAAGGGUUGCUACCUCGCGAGAGGAUGCUAAUCUCAAAAAAGCCGAUCGUAGUCCGGAUCGCAGUCUGCAACUCGACUGCGUGAAGUCGGAAUCGCUAGUAAUCGCGGAUCAGAAUGCCGCGGUGAAUACGUUCCCGGGCCUUGUACACACCGCCCGUCACACCAUGGGAGUUUGUUGCACCAGAAGUAGGUAGUCUAACCGCAAGGAGGACGCUUACCACGGUGUGGCCGAUGACUGGGGUGAAGUCGUAACAAGGUAAGCGUAGAUGA